CUACCUCGCACUUCCAACGAGAUAAGUGAUGAAUUAAACUUACGGCCAAAGGGAACAAUAGAGUUGCGGUGAGACCAUAUAAGUUCCAGCAUCCUUGCCCGGCGUUCAGGCUCCCACUUCAUAGCGUCCUUCAUGCCGCACUUAGCGGACCGCCGCAGCGGCUUUUCUACAAGCGCACCGCCUUCCGCGGCCGCUGUCUAUAUGCUCCUAAAUCAACGCCUUCAAUUCGGCGUGCCGCCGCGGCGGGCUUCCUAAGCGCACUGCCUUCCGCAGCCGCGUGUCAUGCAUUUGUGCCGCACUUAGCGGACCGCCGCAGCGGCUUUUCUAUAAGCGCACCGCCUUCCGCGGCCGCUGUCUAUAUGCUCCUAAAUCAACGCCUUCAAUUCGGCGUGCCGCCGCAGCGGGCUUCCUAAGCGCACUGCCUUCCGCAGCCGCGUGUCAUGCAUUUGUGCCGCACUUAGCGGACCGCCGCAGCGGCUUUUCUAUAAGCGCACCGCCUUCCGCGGCCGCUGUCUAUAUGCUCCUAAAUCAACGCCUUCAAUUCGGCGUGCCGCCGCGGCGGGCUUCCUAAGCGCACUGCCUUCCGCAGCCGCGUGUCAUGCAUUUGUGCCGCACUUAGCGGACCGCCGCAGCGGCUUUUCUAUAAGCGCACCGCCUUCCGCGGCCGCUGUCUAUAUGCUCCUAAAUCAACGCCUUCAAUUCGGCGUGCCGCCGCGGCGGGCUUCCUAAGCGCACUGCCUUCCGCAGCCGCGUGUCAUGCAUUUGUGCCGCACUUAGCGGACCGCCGCAGCGGCUUUUCUAUAAGCGCACCGCCUCCCGCGGCCGCUGUCUAUAUGCUCCUAAAUCAACGCCUUCAAUUCGGCGUGCCGCCGCGGCGGGCUUCCUAAGCGCACUGCCUUCCGCAGCCGCGUGUCAUGCAUUUGUGCCGCACUUAGCGGACCGCCGCAGCGGCUUUUCUAUAAGCGCACCGCCUCCCGCGGCCGCUGUCUAUAUGCUCCUAAAUCAACGCCUUCAAUUCGGCGUGCCGCCGCGGCGGGCUUCCUAAGCGCACUGCCUUCCGCAGCCGCGUGUCAUGCAUUUGUGCCGCACUUAGCGGACCGCCGCAGCGGCUUUUCUACAAGCGCACCGCCUCCCGCGGCCGAAGGCUACAUGCUCCUAAAUCAACGCCUUGACUUCAACUGCCGCCUGCUUGCGGGUUUCUUAAGCGCCAUCCUGUAUGCCUGUCUUGCUCAUUGUUCUGUGCCGCACUUCGCACGUAGGGUAGCUGUUAUGUUGGUAAGUAUCCUGCACCGGGCUAUCUGGCGACUCGCGAGGAUACCAGGGUAAAUCAGGCGAACUCAAGACAAAGGGCGCCGAUCAAGCCCCUCGCAACCUCUUGCCAACCAAGAGCUACUCCCGGCAAAACGGACUCCCAGCUAAAGCCUCGCCAACUGCGGGAGGCCGAGAUAAAACCACCUUUCCUACUGACCUACGGACCUCGCGAACCCAACUAGAAUUCCCCCGCCCACCGACAAGCAACAGAACCCACUAUUCAGGUGCCUCUACUCAAGGCCGAACCAACCCAACCACCCGCGCAGUGCCCGCGCGCUUCACUUACUUGCAUGGAUGCCGUUGGCCCGCAAUGUCGAUCUGCGCGUCGCCGUUGUUGUUGUCUUCUCAUAUAUAAGAGACGGCGUCCUAUUGUAGGCAAAACCAAAGAUAAAGGCAAUCUAACAUCACUCGUCAAGCGAUUUCGACCUCGACUUUUUCUAGUCUUUCUCGUCGUCUAUUUUCUGUAAUCCGUCUUAAUAAAGCUUAGUUGGUACCUGUUGUCUGACUCUGCAUUCUGUGCUGGAAUGGCCAAAACUCGGACUGUCUCGUCCUGGUGUGAUAUCCGUGGUUGGCAUAGGGCCCUCCGUACUUCUGUAUUUGGCAUUAAUCUGCCCGAAAACUUGUGUACGCGUAUACAAUACGAUUGUUUGCAGGCGUUUUUUCUCUGUUACUUCUUUUGCUGCAUAGCUGAUUUGCCUUUUGGAACUCCGCGAUAACCUAACAGUGAGGAGUGAGGAGACCGCUCUUGUAUUAGGAUAUCAUAUUUUGUGAUGUCGCCGACACACAUGAUGUCUGAACGCUUUCCCUGCCUUCCCGGCUGCCCCUCUUCUAAUCCGCAUACUUGGGAUUCUUCCUGUUUUCAAUGGAUCCCAUUUAAAUCAUAAAUACGCCAUAUUAUCUAUUAUCGGUUUUUUUAACUUUUUGAGCUGUUGUCAUUUGAGUGCGGGCAUGUAGGGGCAGAGCCCUAGUAUCACCCCGCCCACCCCUUUAAACGCGUAACAUAGCUGAAUCCGGCCCGACUGCCGGCGUGAGCUCCUGAACGUCAUUAUGACCGUUAUUAGUUGUCAACUACUGUAACCACCACAAUUCCGGCCGGACCUGCGACCCAUAUAUGCAACAAGGUACUACAUGCACACAACAACCUCAGCAGCAACAAUCACGACUCUCUUACUUCACUUCAUCCGUUCACCCUAGGAAAAUACACCGGAACCGCGGCGGCGCCGUCAUUGCGUUUAUGAGACAGGUCAAAAAACGCACGAGCCGCUAAACCAUGGCAAUGGCUCAGUAGGACGAGUUAUUCUCCUCUGCUUACCUACCUUCCGGAGAAAGUCGGAGGUGUGGCACANNN
rnacentral:lncRNA from 1 species